GAUGAACGCUGGCGGCGUGCCUAAUACAUGCAAGUCGAGCGAACGGACGAGAAGCUUGCUUCUCUGAUGUUAGCGGCGGACGGGUGAGUAACACGUGGAUAACCUACCUAUAAGACUGGUAUAACUUCGGGACACCGGAGCUAAUACCGGAUGAUAUUUUGAACCGCAUGGUUCAAAAGUGAAAGACGGUCUUGCUGUCACUUAUAGAUGGAUCCGCGCUGCAUUAGCUAGUUGGUAAGGUAACGGCUUACCAAGGCAACGAUGCAUAGCCGACCUGAGAGGGUGAUAGGCCACACUGGAACUGAGACACGGUCCAGACUCCUACGGGAGGCAGCAGUAGGGAAUCUGACGCAAUGGGCGAAAGCCUGACGGAGCAACGCCGCGGGAGUGAUGAAGGUCUUCGGAUCGUAAAACUCUGUUAUUAGGGAAGAACAUAUGUGUAAGUAACUGUGCACAUCUUGACGGUACCGAAUCAGAAAGCCACGGCUAACUACGU
rnacentral:rRNA from 1 species